AACGUAGGAGACAAACGUUAUCCGGAGUUACUGGGCGUAAAGGGCGUGUAGGUGGUUGCGUAAGUCUGGCGUGAAAUAUCUCGGCUUAACCGAGGCAGGUCGUCGGAUACUGCGUAACUGGAGGACGGUAGAGGCGUGUGGAAUUCCGGGUGUAGUGGUGAAAUGCGUAGAGAUCGGAAAGAACACCAACGGCGAAAGCACUCUGCUGGGCCGACACUGACACUGAGAGACGAAAGCUAGGGGAGCGAAUGGG
rnacentral:rRNA from 1 species